rnacentral:rRNA from 1 species
CUUGCGCCCCUUGGUUAUUCCGAAGGGCAUGCCUGUUUGAGUAUCAUGAACACCUCAACUCUCAUGGUUUUCCAUGAUGAGCUUGGACUUUGGGGGUUUUGUUGGCUUGGAGUCAACUCCUCUCAAAUGGAUCAGCUUGCCAGUGUUUGGUGGCAUCACGGGUGUGAUAAAUAUCUACGCUCAUGGCCGUCCACCAGGUAACUUCCAGCGAUGGAGGUUCGCUGGAGCUUAUAAACGUCUCUCCUCAGCGAGGACAGCUUUUUGAACGUUCGAUCUCAAAUCAGGUAGGACUACCCGCUGAACUUAAGCAUAUCAAUAAGCGGAGG